GACGAACGCUGGCGGCGUGCUUAACACAUGCAGGUCGAGCGAGCGGCGGACGGGUGAGUAAUGUAUGGGGACUGCCCGCUAGCGGGGGAAUACUACUGGAAACGGUAGCUAAUACCGCAUACUAUCGGAUCACCUACAUGGGGUUAGCUAGUAGGUGAGGUAAUGGCUCACGUAGGCGACGAUCCCUAGCUGGUCUGCGAGGAUGAUCAGCCACAGUGGGAUUGAGACACGGCCCAGACUCCGACGGAGGAGGCAGUGGAGAGUAUUGCACGAUAGGCGCAAGGCGGAUGCAGCAAUGCCGCGUGUAUGAAGAAGGCCAUAGGGUUGUAAAGUACUUUCAGGCGGGAGGCGUUAGGGACAGAAGGAGCACCGGCUAACUCCGUGCCAGCAGCCGCGGUAAUAC
rnacentral:rRNA from 1 species